AGUGAACGCUGGCGGUAGGCCUAACACAUGCAAGUCGAACGGAAGCACAGUAAGAGCUUGCUCUUACGGGUGGCGAGUGGCGGACGGGUGAGGAAUACAUAGGAAUCUACUUUUUCGUGGGGGAUAACGUAGGGAAACUUACGCUAAUACCGCAUACGACCUACGGGUGAAAGCAGGAGAUCUUCGCACCUUGCGCGACUGAAUGAGCCGAUGUCGGAUUAGCUAGUUGGCGGGGUAAAGGCACACCAAGGCGACGAUCCGUAGCUGGUCUGAGAGGAUGAUCAGCCACACUGGAACUGAGACACGGUCCAGACUCCUACGGGAGGCAGCAGUGGGGAAUAUUGGACAAUGGGCGCAAGCCUGAUCCAGCCAUACCGCGUGGGUGAAGAAGGCCUUCGGGUUGUAAAGCCCUUUUGUUGGGAAAGAAAAGCAGCAGGUUAAUACCCCGCUGUUCUGACGGUACCCAAAGAAUAAGCACCGGCUAACUUCGUG
rnacentral:rRNA from 1 species